UACGUAGGGUGCGAGCGUUGUCCGGAAUUAUUGGGCGUAAAGGGCUCGUAGGCGGUUUGUCGCGUCGGGAGUGAAAACUCAGGGCUUAACCCUGAGCCUGCUUCCGAUACGGGCAGACUAGAGGUAUGCAGGGGAGAACGGAAUUCCUGGUGUAGCGGUGAAAUGCGCAGAUAUCAGGAGGAACACCGGUGGCGAAGGCGGUUCUCUGGGCAUUACCUGACGCUGAGGAGCGAAAGUGUGGGGAGCGAACAGGG
rnacentral:rRNA from 1 species